CACUGCAAGGCGCCCUGAUGACUUCUCCUAAAAUCUCAUAUCUCUGGGUCUCCAGAGUCAACAUAACAGUUCAAUGAAUAUUGUUUACAAAAAUAAACCUGGAAAGUUUGAGGUUAGGACAACUGUGAACAAGCCCCAAAGUUCAAGGUUGCUCGUCAUAUCUCAGCAAGCCAGGGCUGCUCUUCUCCAUAGCAUCUUUCUUUGAGAAAAAAACCUCUGGGACAGGCAGACUUGACAAGGUCCAGACUGUAAAGUAGCUAGAGACAGACUCAUGUAGGGCUGAGAUUUGGUUUUAUUUCUACUCUGAGACAAAGACCAGGGACAUAGAGAGACAGUGGACCUCUUGCCAAAUGGAGCUCACUUGUUCCAUGGAAAUGAAAUAGAAGGCAAGGACUCCUCAGGCACGGCUGUUGUGAAGUCCCUUUGUGCAACUUCCAUCAAUCUAAAACUAAAGUCUUUGAAGAAAAAAAAAAAGUAGCAUCAACAAGAGGAUGUACUGGUAUUUCUCCAGCCUCAAAGUUUGGACCUAGGUGGUGCAGAAGAAACAGAUGGGAUUGCAGGAGACCAAGAAUCGACCUGAAGAAAAAGUAUCCAAUUCUCUGGGGAAUUCUCAGAUUCCUGAAAGAACCAGGGCAGGAUGAGCCCCUGGCAGAAGCCCAAAGAACACAAGUUUGCCCUUUCACCUCCGUUCACUUCUGUCAUCUCUUCCUCCUCUUAACAUCCCAGCAUGCCGCUCAGUGUCUUUUGGAAAUAAACUCACCUCAUUGUUCUAAGUUAUAAAUACCUGUGAAUGCUUCCUGAGGCUCUCUUCUAAGAAUUAUUCUAAAUAAACUUUAUUUCGAAGCACUACAAACAUGCAGAAAAAUAUACAAGUUAUAACUGCAAAGUCCCAUAAAACUUUCACAGAAGAAACACCUAAAUUCAGGAAGAGAAGCUUUCCAGUAGCAAGAAACUUCCUGCUUCCCUUCUCACUCAAUAUCAUCCCCAAGGGUAACCUUAUUCUGAUGUCUAACACUAAUACAUCUGUU
rnacentral:lncRNA from 1 species